GAUCCUGGCUCAGAACGAACGCUGGCGGCGUGGAUAAGACAUGCAAGUCGAACGGGAGAAUUGCUAGCUUGCUAAUAAUUCUCUAGUGGCGCACGGGUGAGUAACACGUGAGUAACCUGCCCCCGAGAGCGGGAUAGCCCUGGGAAACUGGGAUUAAUACCGCAUAGUAUCGAAAGAUUAAAGCAGCAAUGCGCUUGGGGAUGGGCUCGCGGCCUAUUAGUUAGUUGGUGAGGUAACGGCU
rnacentral:rRNA from 1 species